rnacentral:miRNA from 1 species
GCAUCUUUACUUCUCAGACAUA